rnacentral:rRNA from 1 species
CCUACGGGUGGCAGCAGUGGGGAAUAUUGCACAAUGGGGGAAACCCUGAUGCAGCGACGCCGCGUGAGUGAAGAAGUAAUUCGUUACGUAAAGCUCUAUCAGCAGGGAAGAAACACUGACCUUACGGUCAGCAGACGGUACCUGAGUAAGAAGCCCCGGCUAACUACGUGCCAGCAGCCGCGGUAAUACGUAGGGGGCAAGCGUUAUCCGGAUUUACUGGGUGUAAAGGGGGCGUAGACGGUGCGCCAAGGCUGGAGUGAAAUGCCGCAGGUUAAAUGCGGAACUGCUUUGGAAACUGGCGAACUAGAGUGCGGGAGGGGUAAGCGGAAUUCGUGGUGUAGCGGUGAAAUGCGUAGAUAUUAGGAGGAACACCGGUGGCGAAGGCGGCUUACUGGACCGUAACUGACGUUGAGGCUCGAAAGCGUGGGGAGCAAACAGGAUUAGAUACCCGGGUAGUC